rnacentral:rRNA from 1 species
AGAUUGAACGCUGGCGGCAUGCUUUACACAUGCAAGUCGAACGGUAACAGGCCGCAAGGUGCUGACGAGUGGCGAACGGGUGAGUAAUGUAUCGGAACGUGCCCAGUCGUGGGGGAUAACGCAGCGAAAGCUGCGCUAAUACCGCAUACGAUCGUAUGGAUGAAAGGCGGGGACCGUAAGGCCUCGCGCGAUUGGAGCGGCCGAUAUCAGAUUAGGUAGUUGGUGGGUAAAGGCUCACCAAGCCAACGAUCUGUAGCUGGUCUGAGAGGACGACCAGCCACACUGGGACUGAGACGACGGCCCAGACUCCGUACGGGAGCGAGCGAGGUGGGAAGUUUUGGACAAGUGGGCGACGAAGUCCGU